UUCCAGGUUAAAUAAGAAAGAAUAUUUGUUUUUGAUAAAGGCGUUCCAGUCCCCAGACACCCACCCACCAGGCUAGUAAAGUGCCAUCAGUGUGUCAGUCAAAGAGAUCCCAUGGCCAGUGGAGAAAUACAAAUGUAUCUAGAGCUGAUUCUAUGGAGGAUGGAGAAUUAUCUGAAAAGACUUCUUUCAUUGAGGUGUGUGGCAGGCAAGGAGGAAAUAUAUGUCAAUGUCGGCAAUAUUUGUCAGCUUUGAUAGGAUAGAUCCUCUACAAUACCUUUACAACAGUACUUCUGUAAAACAUCUGGAACUUAUUGAUAUUGCGAAGAAUGAAGAGAACCAUAAAAUGUUGAUACCGAAGUUGUCUGCCAUUACAAAGGAAUUAAAAUGGAGAAACGCUGAAGAAAAAGAACUCAGAAAUUCUAUACAAGUUUUGCAGAAGCAAACAAGAAGAAUGCAUUUGAAGAAUCUAAUGAUAAAGCAGUUAAAGAUGCUAUCGUUACGUGGGCAGCAAACUGAAAGUGCGCAUGUAGUUUGAUGGGUCAAUUUAUACACUCGUCUACUGAUUACGGAAGUUAGUAUGAUAUACUUCGCCUUAUUUAGCAACAGGCACCAUGGUAACAGGCUGCUUAAGGUCAUGAGAGAAAUGGCACAGAGAAUUAUGUUUAUUGACAUUUGUGAAAACACAACAGACUCUGCCUGAGUCACACACACACAGCCUGAGCUACAAGCUCUGAAUGAAGGAACUCCAGAAAAUCUUGUGGCUGACCAGUUUGUAUGAUCACCAGUUGCAAUCUAGAACCUAGAUUUCAGCACCAUUAAGUAGUGAAUUCGUAGACCAUUAGUUUUACGUCCAGGAUCCCUCUUCAGCGGAAAAUUUAUCACACAAUUGAAUGAUUGUACUGUUGUACCUGGAUCUCAAGACAUUUACAUAAGUUAAACGGUAACUUAGUCUUUACAUUCAACCAAUUCUACUGGACUGGUAGACACAGACUGAUGAAAGUACUAAGGUUUGGACCAUAGACAGUAUAUUACUAACUGGAUCCAAGUUUAACUAAAAUGUAACUAAGCUUGCAGAUCAGCUGUUGUACACAACUAUUUGCAUACAAGCUCCUAUGAAAUUUUCUGUAAUGUUUAAAAGAUAGUUUUUUUCAACACAACAAUAUGAAUCUGAUUUAGAAUAAUAAGCCUCGCAGUGAAAUUCUAUUUUAAUAAAGAAGUUGAGAUUUUAAAACUAGUACAUGUAGAAUCACCUGUAGUGAUCAGCGACUUGUACAAUUCUUUUGUUUAUGAGAAUGUUUAUGUUUUUAAAUUUGAACCUAGGGUGGAAGCAAUCAGGUAAUUAUAAUUAUGAUGUGCACAAAUUGUCAAGUUUUUUUUUUUACCUGGCAUCAGUACAAAGUGGACAAGAUAAACUCAUAACAGCUCGUCUAAUCAAAAAUAACAUGUAUACUGACGAGAUAUGAAAACGCAACAAGCGCAUGCCUGAAUAUAUUUUUUCUACCAAAAGUAUUGCAUUGUAAUGUUAACACAGACAGAUAUUCUAUACUCAUUGUUUUCAAAUUUAAUCAGCACAACAGAUCAUAAAACUUACACAAUGGGAAUAGUCUCAGUAUCGAGAUGUGUUUGUGUUGAACAGUUCAAGGUGAUACUUUUUUGUAUUAAAAGUAUAUUCAUGCAUAUGUUUUUUGCAUUUUCAUAUCUUGUCAGUGUAUUGUUGUAAAUGUAAAAAUUGUACAUGUCAUGUCAUAUGUCUUUCAUUCCGUCAUUUCAUAUACUGCCAUUAGUUUGUUCAAGACUAUCAAUACUCAGGGAAAUCAGAUUCAGUACGCUGUACAUAAAAUGCCUUUCUUAUAUCUCAUUUUGUACAUACAUGUACAUAGCAUAGACAACACAUUUUUAAUUGACAUAUAAGUAUACUGUCUCUAUGUAGCAUUUUCAUUGUCACUUAAUUGAUGCCUAGCAUUAUGUUACAAUACUCAGGGAAUACACAUCUGUCAUAUUAUCAUAUACCUAUUUGGAUUGAUAGCACAGCUUUAGGUUUGGAGGAAAGUUGUGCUAACAGAAGUUUAAAUACGUGUUCCUCCUUUAGCCUGUUAUUUAUUAUCUAGUUCUUGUUUGUAUACUAAGUUUUGAAUAUGUUUUCCUGUAUUGUUUUGUACAUAAACAUACAUUGUUUCAGAAGAAUUUACAUGUAAAUAGGUUGUUGAUACAUGUAUAUAUCUUGUGUUUGGUUAGGAAAGUAAGGAAAUACAGAUUGUUUCGUUAUUAUGUAGCAGACUGCAUCGUAAAUGAGAUAGUUUUAUACUUACCUUAUUGAUAUGAUUUAUGAAAAACAAAUUACACAGGUGCAUUUUAACAUUGUGUACAUAACUGUAAAUUUUGUGCAGAUCUUUGUCACCCAUCACAUGUAGUAACAAGGGACAUAAAUUUUAAACACAUUGUUAUUUGUCUUUCAAAUUAAGUUAAGGGAUUCUGGUUAGGGAUUACAUUAUGAAAAGUUUUACAAAUUUCCUCUGACCUCCAGAUCCUAGAAUUGUUCAAUGGUUUUAAAUUGAUUUUGACCCUUAGCUGGCUGAAUUUCUAAAAUGGACCAUGAUCAGACUGUACGGAUGUGCAGGCUGAUCUUUGUCUCAAAUGGUCGCAAACGCAGAAUCACUUGCUGCCAGCAAGCUAACUGUUAAAACAGAAGUUAAUAAAUGAUAGUUGUAAAGUUAAUUUAUCUUAUGAAUGGGUUAUACCAUGUUUUAGAUAGGUCAGCAAUGAGUUAAAAAAACACACAAGUCAAAUCAAAGUUAAUCAUUUGGAAUACACACCUAAAAUAUAUACAAAAACAUGUAAUCAUAAAGAACUUUCACAUUUCAUAAUUGUCUAAAUCAAACUGAUUUUUUUUUUUUUUUUUUUGGUUUCGAUGAUGGCUUUUUACUUCAGAUGUUAUUUUUGUAUACAUAUUCUGCUGACAAGUGUGUACAGUUAUACCGCAUUGCACAGACUAUAGUAUAACAUUAACUUCCCUGUCUGAAAUUUUUUGAUAGAUUUUCAUGAAACUUGGGUCAAAUGGUAACCUCGUCUAGACGAUGUGCAGAACCCAUGAGUGAACCAUGUCAGUUCAAGGUCAAGGUUACAACUCAGGGUCAAAGGUUUGAGCCUUCCAUUUCGUAUCUGCUAUGUAUCUCCUUAACCCCUUGAAGGAUAAUCAUGAAACUUGGGUCAAAUGAUCACCUCAUAAAGUCGAUGUGCAGAACCUAUAAGUUAGCCAUGUCGGUUCAAGGUCAAGGUCACAACUCAAGGUCAAAAUUUUGAGCCUUCCAUUUCGUGUCCCCCCUGUAUCUCCUAAACCUCUUGAAGGAUAAUCAUGAAACUUGGGUCAAAUGAUCACCUCAUCAAGAUGAUAAUGCAGAACCCAUGAGUCAGCCAUGUCAGCUCAAGGUCAUGGUCAUAACUGAAGGCCAAAGGUUUGAGCCUUCCAUUUCGUGUCCACUCUGUAUCUCCUAUACCCCUUGAAGGAUAAUCAUGAAACUUGGACCAAAUGAUCUUCUCAUCAAGACAAUUGUGCAGAAAUAAUCAGUCAGCAAUAUCGGCUCAAGGUCAAGGACACAAGGCCAAAGGUUUGAACCUUACGUUUUGAGCCUUCCAAUCUGUGUCCUCUCUGUAUCUCCUAAUGCCCUGGAAGGAUUCAUAUGAAACCUUGGUCAAAUGAUAACCUGUCCAAGUCAAUGUGCAGAACUUAUGAGUCAGCCAUGUCAGCCCAAGGUCAAAGUCAUAACUUUGGGUCAAAGGUUUGAGCCUUCCAUUUUGUGUCCACUCUGUAUCUCCUAAACCCCUUGAAGGAUUUUCAUCAAACUUCGGUCAAAUGAUCACCUCAUCAAGAAUUCAUGAGUCAGCCAUGUCAACUCAAGGUCAAGGUCACAACUCAAGGCCAAAGUUUGAGCUCUGUAUCUCUUAAAUAUCUUAAAAGGAUUUUCAUGAAGCUUAGAUCAAAUGAUCCCCUCAUCAAGACGAUGUGCAGAAUUCAUGGGUCAGCCAUGUCAGUUUAAGGUCAAGGUCACAGCUCAAGGUCAAAGGUUUACCCUAUUACUAUCGGUACCAGUAGCGGGGGAUUUAGCUGUCUUUCCGACUGCCUUGUUUGUAAUAUAAACUGUUUGGACCUUGAGUUUUCCAGUUACAUUUGUAAUUCACUUGUACUUAGUUUGUAUAUAACAUGUUUUUUUUAUUUUAAAAUGUACAGUAAGUUGUAAGUGCUCUUAAUAACAUAUCGGGCCUCGGCAGAUGAGUGAUUAAGGAGGACGACUUCGAGUCACUUGCCUCUCACCAUAUAAUGGUUUGAAAUAGAAGAUCAGUUGUCCUACCCAAAUACUAGCCCAUGCCUGAAAAUGCCUGGAGGACUCUUAGGGUCUUCCUCCUACAUUAAAAGCUGAGAAGUUGCUAUAUGACACAAUACAUCAAAAGCUAAGAAGUUGCUAUGUGACAUGAUUGUGUCGAUUGGAGGUUAAACAUAAUAAAAUGAUAACACAUACUUUCCAUAUAUCGAUGUGCCCUCUGCCAAGUAAACCAUUUCAAAAGAAUUCGUAUUUGUUUACUUGUCAAGCUUGUAAAUAUGUAUAUAUACAUUAUAUUUUUUUGCUGAGGUUGUGAAUGUAAAUGGGCAGCAGUGUUUAAAGUUUUCUGUGUGUACAUAUAAGCAUUUAUUUUUAUCAUUGAAGUAACAGAAUUUGUGUUACAGUUCAGUGUGUAGAAAACUGUAGUAAAAUAAGUCAAAUUAAAAAGCUAUAUACAAUUUAGUAACUGCUACAUAAAUAUAUUUCUGUUUGUACAUAAUUUUAUUCAAUCAUGCUUUAAUGUGAAAAUUGUAUUUGUUUUUGUCUUCAUUCAAACAAUGAUUAUGUUUGAAAUGUAAUGUAGAAUUUGUUAUAUGAACUCCAUAUAUUCAGUCUAUUUAGUCCAAGAGCAUGAAAAGGGAAAUAACCACUGGAGUAGAACGUAUAUAUUUUCUGUCCAGUAAGGUAAAUUACAAGCAAAACAACUUUUAUGGAGCAGCAGCUUCUCUAAAUUAGAUUUUAUUUACAAUAUAAGAUACAGUAUCAGUAUUACCACUGUUCAUUUAUCAAAGUUAGCAACACUGUAUUUCAUUUAAUGUUACAUGUAUGCUCUUAUGUAACAAUCCUUUUGAAGGAAACAAGUCGAAAUGAAGACUUUGCUUCCAAAACAAGAAAACAGUUACAGUAUUUAGUAACAAUUUUCCAGUUCUGGAAGUAGGGAAAAACCAUAAAUUGAUAUCUGAAACAGAAAGUUUCUCUACUGCAUUAGAAAGAUUUGAAUGUAAAUUAGCAUUUGCCAGAGCAUAAAUAUUUCAUAACAAAAUCAUAUAUAUAUAUCAUAGCCAUAUGAAUUACGUUUGCUCGUAAAACAUUGCACUGAAUACUUGUUGAUAAAUUUGCUAGAAAAUACACUUUGUUUGUUUGACAGUGACACUGAGCUCUUUUCGAAAAUUGUGUUUCAGGUUUAGAUUGCUAAAGCAUAAAGUAAACAGACAAAUAUGCAUGCAAAAGUCAAACAAUAAUAGUGUUUGUGUGCGGGUGGCCUCUAUUCACAGGUUAAAAUAGAGAAAAAAUAUUUAAUUUGGAAACGAAAUAAACAAAACGCUUUAUAGUUAGUUGAGCUCUGCUCACGGGGAAUCUUUGGCAAAGGUUCGACUGUACAUAAUUAUUUCAUUUAUGAUAAGUUAUUCAUAUUUUAAUAGUUUGUUUUCUAAACAGUUUACCAACUUAUUUCAACCAUCUUAUCAGAGAUAAACUAUUUCCACGCAAUAUGUUGAAGCCUUUUUAAAGUUUCACAUAAAAUUUGCAACCAAAAUGGUAUAUUAUAGAUCCGUUGUUUUCCUGUUUAAGCGCCUGUAUUUGUCUUUGACAUGUUUUGUUGUAGAUUGAGGUAUUUAUUGAAAUGAUAACUGUUUGAUAGUUGUUCUAACAUAAUAUAUAUAUUUUAAUGACAUUGUUUAUAUCAUUUUUAUAUGAUACAUUGAUAUCGCUAGUAUUAAAACUGAAGCUGCAAAAAUGUUGUUAUAGGAAAGAAAGCGUCUAUUGAUUUUAGGGACACUUAUUUGAAAAGCAGUCCUUCAAGCUUCUGUGAAUGUUCUUCAUUUAUAAUGAAUCAGGCCAUUUUAGUAAAAGUACAGUAGUACUUUAUAGUAAUCAAGCCACAUUUCAGGGUUAGCCAGAUAAUGGUGGACGGAAAAGAUUAUUAUGUAUUCCAGUUAGAGUGGCAUUUUCAUGCUUUCUUUUAGCCAGUUUCUGUUGUAUGAUAAGGGCCUAUACUUGACAUAUUGGUAACAAUUCAAGAUUAUUUGCAUUGAUAGAAAUGUAAAUAAGUUUUGUUACUCAUAUGCCACAUUUUAAAUGUCAGUUUUGAAGAUAAUCCAUACUGUUGACCUUUAAGACAAAAAAUCUUUCUUAGUCAGAUAAUGUAGAUUCUGUGAUUAUCAUUUGCUUAUAUUUAUGCCCCCCUUCGAAGAAGGAGGGGUAUAUUGUUUUGCAGAUGUCUGUCGGUCGGAAUGUAGACCAAUCCGUUUCCGGAUAAUAACUCAAGAACGCUUAGGCCUAGGAACUUGAAAUUUGAUAGGAAGGUUGGUCAUCACCAGCAGAUGACCCUGUUGAUUUUGAGGUAUGUAUGUCAAAGGUCAAGGUCACAGUGACCUGAACAGUUAAACGGUUUCCGUAUGAUAACUCAAUAACGCUUGGGCCUAGGAUCAUGAAUGUUGAUAGGGAGGUUGGUCAUGACCAGCAGAUGGCCCCUAUAGAUUUUGAGGUCAGUAUGUCAAAGGUAAAGGUCACAGUGACCCUGAACAGUUAAACAGUUUCCGGAUGAUAACUGAAGAACGCUUGGGCCUAGGGUCUUGGAAGUUAAAAGGGAGGUUGGUCAUGACCAGCAGAUGACCCCUAUUAAUUUUGAGGUCAGUAUGUCAAAGAUCAAGGUCACAGUGACAUGGAACAGUUAAACAGUUUCUGGAUGAUAACUCAAGGUUGCUUUGGGCUAGGAUCCUGAAAGUUGAUAAGGAGGUUGAUCAUCACCAGCAGAUGACCCCUAUUGAUUUUGAGAUCAGUAGGUCAAAGGUCAUUGUCACAGUGACCAGGAACAGUAAAAUGGUUUCCAGGUGAUAACUCAAGAAUGCUUGGGCCUAGGAUCAGGAAAAUUGAUAGGGAGAUUGGUCAUGACCAGCAGAUGAUCCGUAUUGAUUUUGAGGUCAUUAGGUCAAGUUCAAGGUCUCAUUGGCCAGGAAGAGUUAAACAGCUUCUUGAUGAUAACUUGAGAACACUUAGACCAAGGGUCAUGAAAGAUGAUAGAGGUUUAUCAUGACCAGCAGAUGACCCCUAUAGAUUUUGAGGUCAGUAUGUCAAAGGUCAAGGUUACAGUGACCUGGAACAUUUAAACCUUUUCCAGACAAUAACUUGAGAAUGCUUGGGCCUAUGAUCAUGAAACUUGAUAGGGAGGUUGGUCAUGACCAGUAGAUGGCCCCUGUAGAUUUUGAGGUCAGUAGGCUAAAGGUGAAGGUCACAUUGACCGGAAACAGUUGAACCCGUUCUGGACGAUACCGUGAGAACGCUUGGGCCUAGGAUCAUGAAACUUAAUAGGGAGGUUGAUCAUGACCAGCAGAUGAUCCCUGUUGAUUUUUAGGUCAAUAGGUUAAAGGUCAAGGUAAGGUUGAACCAGAACAGUAGAACCUUUGUUUACAGGGAGCAUAUAAUUUCUGUUCCUUGUGCAAUUACUGAAUGCAUCAAGGGGUGCAUUUCGUGUUCGACAAGCUCUUGUUUAUAUUUACCUUGUUUUCAGUUGUUUAAAAUAUGUUCAGUAUAAUUAUGACCUUACCAAAAUAUGUGCAAAACAUAUUUUACUGCUUAUAACUUUAAUGUAUAAUAUUGUACUAUUGAGAAUGUGUCAAAUUAAAAAGUAACAAUGAAUUAAAA